GUCUAUGGCCAUACCACCCUGAACGCACCUGAUCUCGUCUGAUCUCGGAAGCUAAGCAGGGUUAGGCCUGGUUAGUACUUGGAUGGGAGAAGUGGAGUUAGAUAAAAGGUAGCAAUGGACA
ensembl:rRNA 5S_rRNA 5S ribosomal RNA